rnacentral:rRNA from 1 species
AUUGAACGCUGGCGGCAGGCCUAACACAUGCAAGUCGAGCGGAUGAAGGGAGCUUGCUCCUGGAUUCAGCGGCGGACGGGUGAGUAAUGCCUAGGAAUCUGCCUGGUAGUGGGGGAUAACGUCCGGAAACGGGCGCUAAUACCGCAUACGUCCUGAGGGAGAAAGUGGGGGAUCUUCGGACCUCACGCUAUCAGAUGAGCCUAGGUCGGAUUAGCUAGUUGGUGGGGUAAAGGCCUACCAAGGCGACGAUCCGUAACUGGUCUGAGAGGAUGAUCAGUCACACUGGAACGGAGACACGGUCCAGACUCCUACGGGAGGCAGCAGUGGGGAAUAUUGGACAAUGGGCGAAAGCCUGAUCCAGACAUGCCGCGUGUGUGAAGAAGGUCUUCGGAUUGUAAAGCACGUUAAGUUGGGAGGAAGGGCAGUAAGUUAAUACCUUGCUGUUUUGACGUUACCAACAGAAUAAGCACCGGCUAACUUCGUG